rnacentral:rRNA from 1 species
CGUGGGGAACCUGCCCCACUAGUCUGGGAUACCACUUGGAAACAGGUGCUAAUACCUGAUAAGAAAGCAGAUCGCAUGAUCAGCUUUUAAAAGGCGGCGUAAGCUGUCGCUAUGGGAUGGCCCCGCGGUGCAUUAGCUAGUUGGUAAGGUAAAGGCUUACCAAGGCGAUGAUGCAUAGCCGAGUUGAGAGACUGAUCGGCCACAUUGGGACUGAGACACGGCCCAAACUCCUACGGGAGGCAGCAGCG